GGGUUGUGAGGUUAAGCGACUAAGCGUACACGGUGGAUGCCCUGGCAGUCAGAGGCGAUGAAGGGCGUGCUAAUCUGCGAUAAGCGCCGGUAAGGUGAUAUGAACCGUUAUAACCGGCGAUACCCGAAUGGGGAAACCCAGUGUGAUUCGUCACACUAUCAUUAACUGAAUCCAUAGGUUAAUGAGGCGAACCGGGGGAACUGAAACAUCUAAGUACCCCGAGGAAAAGAAAUCAACCGAGAUUCCCCCAGUAGCGGCGAGCGAACGGGGAGGAGCCCAGAGCCUGAAUCAGCAUGUGUGUUAGUGGAAGCGUCUGGAAAGGCGCGCGAUACAGGGUGACAGCCCCGUACACAAAAGCGCAUGUGCUGUGAGCUCGAUGAGUAGGGCGGGACACGUGGUAUCCUGUCUGAAUAUGGGGGGACCAUCCUCCAAGGCUAAAUACUCCUGACUGACCGAUAGUGAACCAGUACCGUGAGGGAAAGGCGAAAAGAACCCCGGCGAGGGGAGUGAAAAAGAACCUGAAACCGUGUACGUACAAGCAGUGGGAGCNNNNNNNNNNNNNNNGGGCGUUAAGUUGCAGGGUAUAGACCCGAAACCCGGUGAUCUAGCCAUGGGCAGGUUGAAGGUUGGGUAACACUAACUGGAGGACCGAACCGACUAAUGUUGAAAAAUUAGCGGAUGACCUGUGGCUGGGGGUGAAAGGCCAAUCAAACCGGGAGAUAGCUGGUUCUCCCCGAAAGCUAUUUAGGUAGCGCCUCGUGAAUUCAUCUCCGGGGGUAGAGCACUGUUUCGGCUAGGGGGCCAUCCCGGCUUACCAACCCGAUGCAAACUGCGAAUACCGGAGAAUGUUAUCACGGGAGACACACGGCGGGUGCUAACGUCCGUCGUGAAGAGGGAAACAACCCAGACCGCCAGCUAAGGUCCCAAAGUCAUGGUUAAGUGGGAAACGAUGUGGGAAGGCCCAGACAGCCAGGAUGUUGGCUUAGAAGCAGCCAUCAUUUAAAGAAAGCGUAAUAGCUCACUGGUCGAGUCGGCCUGCGCGGAAGAUGUAACGGGGCUAAACCAUGCACCGAAGCUGCGGCAGCGACACUGUGUGUUGUUGGGUAGGGGAGCGUUCUGUAAGCCUGUGAAGGUGUGUCGUGAGGCAUGCUGGAGGUAUCAGAAGUGCGAAUGCUGACAUAAGUAACGAUAAAGCGGGUGAAAAGCCCGCUCGCCGGAAGACCAAGGGUUCCUGUCCAACGUUAAUCGGGGCAGGGUGAGUCGACCCCUAAGGCGAGGCCGAAAGGCGUAGUCGAUGGGAAACGGGUUAAUAUUCCCGUACUUGGUGUUACUGCGAAGGGGGGACGGAGAAGGCUAUGUUGGCCGGGCGACGGUUGUCCCGGUUUAAGCGUGUAGGUGUGUGUUCCAGGUAAAUCCGGUUCACUUUAACACUGAGGCGUGACGACGAGGCACUACGGUGCUGAAGCAACAAAUGCCCUGCUUCCAGGAAAAGCCUCUAAGCAUCAGGUAACAUCAAAUCGUACCCCAAACCGACACAGGUGGUCAGGUAGAGAAUACCAAGGCGCUUGAGAGAACUCGGGUGAAGGAACUAGGCAAAAUGGUGCCGUAACUUCGGGAGAAGGCACGCUGACACGUAGGUGAAGUGAUUUACUCAUGGAGCUGAAGUCAGUCGAAGAUACCAGCUGGCUGCAACUGUUUAUUAAAAACACAGCACUGUGCAAACACGAAAGUGGACGUAUACGGUGUGACGCCUGCCCGGUGCCGGAAGGUUAAUUGAUGGGGUCAGCGCAAGCGAAGCUCCUGAUCGAAGCCCCGGUAAACGGCGGCCGUAACUAUAACGGUCCUAAGGUAGCGAAAUUCCUUGUCGGGUAAGUUCCGACCUGCACGAAUGGCGUAAUGAUGGCCAGGCUGUCUCCACCCGAGACUCAGUGAAAUUGAACUCGCUGUGAAGAUGCAGUGUACCCGCGGCAAGACGGAAAGACCCCGUGAACCUUUACUAUAGCUUGACACUGAACAUUGAGCCUUGAUGUGUAGGAUAGGUGGGAGGCUUUGAAGUGUGGACGCCAGUCUGCAUGGAGCCGACCUUGAAAUACCACCCUUUAAUGUUUGAUGUUCUAACGUGGACCCGUUACCCGGGUUGCGGACAGUGUCUGGUGGGUAGUUUGACUGGGGCGGUCUCCUCCUAAAGAGUAACGGAGGAGCACGAAGGUUGGCUAAUCCUGGUCGGACAUCAGGAGGUUAGUGCAAUGGCAUAAGCCAGCUUGACUGCGAGCGUGACGGCGCGAGCAGGUGCGAAAGCAGGUCAUAGUGAUCCGGUGGUUCUGAAUGGAAGGGCCAUCGCUCAACGGAUAAAAGGUACUCCGGGGAUAACAGGCUGAUACCGCCCAAGAGUUCAUAUCGACGGCGGUGUUUGGCACCUCGAUGUCGGCUCAUCACAUCCUGGGGCUGAAGUAGGUCCCAAGGGUAUGGCUGUUCGCCAUUUAAAGUGGUACGCGAGCUGGGUUUAGAACGUCGUGAGACAGUUCGGUCCCUAUCUGCCGUGGGCGCUGGAGAACUGAGGGGGGCUGCUCCUAGUACGAGAGGACCGGAGUGGACGCAUCACUGGUGUUCGGGUUGUCAUGCCAAUGGCACUGCCCGGUAGCUAAAUGCGGAAGAGAUAAGUGCUGAAAGCAUCUAAGCACGAAACUUGCCCCGAGAUGAGUUCUCCCUGAGACUUAGAGUCUCCUGAAGGAACGUUGAAGACGACGACGUUGAUAGGCCGGGUGUGUAAGCGCAGCGAUGCGUUGAGCUAACCGGUACUAAUGAACCGUGAGGCUUAACCUUACAACGCCGAAG
rnacentral:rRNA from 1 species